rnacentral:rRNA from 1 species
AGUCGAACGAUGAACCACUUCGGUGGGGAUUAGUGGCGAACGGUGAGUAACACGUGGGCAAUCUGCCCUGCACUCUGGGACAAGCCCUGGAAACGGGGUCUAAUACCGGAUACUGAUCCUCGCAGGCAUCUGCGAGGUUCGAAAGCUCCGGCGGUGCAGGAUGAGCCCGCGGCCUAUCAGCUAGUGGUGAGGUAACGGCUCACCAAGGCGACGACGGGUAGCCGGCCUGAGAGGGCGACCGGCCACACUGGGACUGAGACACGGCCCAGACUCCUACGGGAGGCAGCAGUGGGGAAUAUUGCACAAUGGGCGAAAGCCUGAUGCAGCGACGCCGCGUGAGGGAUGACGGCCUUCGGGUUGUAAACCUCUUUCAGCAGGGAAGAAGCGAAAGUGACGGUACCUGCAGAAGAAGCGCCGGCUAACUACGUGCCAGCAGCCGCGGUAAUACGUAGGGCGCAAGCGUUGUCCGGAAUUAUUGGGCGUAAAGAGCUCGUAGGCGGCUUGUCACGUCGGUUGUGAAGCCCGGGGCUUAACCCCGGGUCUGCAGUCGAUACGGGCAGGCUAGAGUUCGGUAGGGGAGAUCGGAAUUCCUGGUGUAGCGGUGAAAUGCGCAGAUAUCAGGAGGAACACCGGUGGCGAAGGCGGAUCUCUGGGCCGAUACUGACGCUGAGGAGCGAAAGCGUGGGGAGCG